UCGCAGCAUCAGGAGUUGGGGCGACGCCCAACGCCAACCUGCCAUUCCGGGCAAGGUGGCGCUUCCGCAAGGAAGGAUGUGGCCGGACCCGGCAACCAAACGGAUCAAG
rnacentral:ncRNA from 2 species